rnacentral:rRNA from 1 species
CCCGCUGAACUUAAGCAUAUCAGUAAGCGGAGGAAAAGAAAUUAACCAAGAUUGCCUUAGUAGUGGCGAACGAAGAGGCAAAAGCUCACAAUUGGAAUCUGGGGCCUGCGGCCUCCGAAUUGUAGUUUAUAGGUACGAGCAAAAGGGGAAGCAAUCACAUAAGUCUCCUGGAAAGGAACAUCGCAGAGGGUGAAAAUCCCGUAGUGGGUGAGCGCUGAACCGAAUGUUAGUAUUCUAAGAGUCGGGUUGUUUGGGAGUACAGCCCUAAAUGGGAGAUAAACUUCUUCUAAAGCUAAAUAUGUAUGGGAGGCCGAUAGCGAACAAGUACUGUGAAGGAAAGACGAAAAGAACUUUGGAAAGAGGGCUAAAAGACUUGAAACCGUUGAGAAGGAAGCGGUGAGAACGAGGAGGUCUGCGUCGAACGUGGGUUUCAGAAGCGGAUGUACGAGAGGGGGAACCUUACGGAAACCGACUUGUACUAAAGCAACUGGUGCACACUAACCGGCGUAAGACAGACAGGAUGAUGUUUCAGCCUUGGAGUAACUCCGCCCCCGGGCGAGAGGGAACAAUGGCUCUAGCAUGAGGGAUUUAUAUGAUUCUGUCGAAAUGGUUGUCACCGACCCGUCUUGAAACACGGACCAAGGAGUCUAACACUUAUGCGAGUCUGCGAGUGACUGAAACUCAUAGGCGCAAUGAAAGUGAGUAAAAGGUGUUAACCGCAAGGUACAGCAUCAACCGUCCAUGAUCUUUUGUGAAUGGCAUGAGGAAGAGCAUAAUUGUUAGGACCCGAGAGAUGGUGAACUAUGCUUGAGUAGGGUGAAGUCAGGGGAAACUCUGAUGGAAGCUCGUAGCGUUACUGACGUGCAAAUCGUUCGUUAAACUUGAGUAUAGGGGCGAAAGACUAAUCGAACCAUCAAUUUGCUGGUUCCUUUCGAAGUUUCUCUCAGGAUAGCAGGAGCAGAUUGGCAGUUUUAUUGGGUAAAGCUAAUGAUUAGAGGAUUUGGGGAUGCAACAUCCUUGACCUAUUCUCAAACUUUAAAUUGGUAAGAACUUGGAGUUUAGCUUAAUUGAACUUCAAGGUGGAAUGCGCUGCUCUUAGUGGGCCAUUUUUGGUAAGCAGAACUGGCGAUGAGGGAUGAACCUAACGUGGAGUUAAGGUGCCUUAAUCUGCACUCAUCAGAUACCAUAAAAGGUGUUGAUCCAUUUAGACAGCAGGGCGGUGGCCAUGGAAGUCGGAAUCCGCUAAGGAGUGUGUAACAACUCACCUGCCGAAUG